GAUGAACGCUGGCGGCGUGCCUAAUACAUGCAAGUCGAGCGAACAGAUGAGGAGCUUGCUCCGCUGACGUUAGCGGCGGACGGGUGAGUAACACGUGGAUAACCUACCUAUAAGACUGGGAUAACUUCGGGAAACCGGAGCUAAUACCGGAGAAUAUAUUGAACCGCAUGGUUCAAUAGUGAAAGACGGUUUUGCUGUCACUUAUAGAUGGAUCCGCGCCGCAUUAGCUAGUUGGUAAGGUAACGGCUUACCAAGGCAACGAUGCGUAGCCAACCUGAGAGGGUGGUCGGCCACCCUGGAACUGAGACACGGUCCAGACUCCUACGGGAGGCCGCAGUAGGGAAUCUUCCGCAAUGGGCGAAAGCCUGACGGAGCAACGCCGCGUGAGUGAUGACGGUCUUCGGAUCGUAAAACUCUGUUAUUAGGGAAGAACCAAUGUGUACGUAACUAUGCACGUCUUGACGGUACCUAAUCAGAAAGCCACGGCUAACUACGUG
rnacentral:rRNA from 1 species